GAUGAACGCUAGCGGCAGGCCUAACACAUGCAAGUCGAGGGAGGAGCUUUCGGGCUUCGACCGGCGUACGGGUGCGUAACGCGUAUACAAUCUGCCUUUCACAUAGGGAUAGCCCGAAGAAAUUUGGAUUAAUACCUAAUGGUAUAUAGGAGUGGCAUCACCUUUAUAUUAAAGCUGAGGCGGUGAAAGAUGAGUAUGCGUUCUAUUAGCUAGUUGGAGAGGUAACGGCUCCCCAAGGCGACGAUAGAUAGGGGUUCUGAGAGGGAUAUCCCCCACACUGGUACUGAGAUACGGACCAGACUCCUACGGGAGGCAGCAGUGAGGAAUAUUGGACAAUGGUCGGAAGACUGAUCCAGCCAUGCCGCGUGCAGGAAGACGGCCUUAGGGGUUGUAAACUGCUUUUGCAGGGGAAGAAUAAGGAGUACGUGUACUUUGAUGACGGUACUCUGCGAAUAAGCAUCGGCUAACUCCGUG
rnacentral:rRNA from 1 species